rnacentral:lncRNA from 1 species
UAUCACUGAGUAAUUCAUGACAGCAAAUAUUAUGUAGUGGAGCAAAUAGACAUGCAGCAAGAUACGAAGGAAAAUUAAUCCCAACUCUAUCAUUUAUUCCGGCCGCCGAAGAGAAGUGAUAAGGCGCAACAUUAGACACAGAAUACUUAAAACAUGUUUCCAACCAGGUGAUAUAAGAUAACUAACAAAUUCUGCUUUGGGAACCCAG